rnacentral:rRNA from 1 species
GACGAACGCUGGCGGCGUGCUUAACACAUGCAAGUCGAACGGUGAAGCGCUUGCCUUUUUGGUGGGUGUGGAUGAGUGGCGAACGGGUGAGUAACACGUGAGUAACCUGCCCUCUUCUUCUGGAUAACCUCAUGAAAGUGGGGCUAAUACGGGGUAUUCCGGGUCUGUCGCAUGGCGGGUUUGGGAAAGAUUGCGCCUUUGGGUGUUUUCGGUGGGGGAUGGGCUCGCGGCCUAUCAGCUUGUUGGUGGGGUGAUGGCCUACCAAGGCGGUGACGGGUAGCCGGCCUGAGAGGGUGGACGGCCACACUGGGACUGAGACACGGCCCAGACUCCUGCGGGAGGCAGCAGUGGGGAAUAUUGCACAAUGGGCGCAAGCCUGAUGCAGCGACGCCGCGUGAGGGAUGGAGGCCUUCGGGUUGUGAACCUCUUUCGCCAGUGAAGCAGGCCUGCUCCUGUGUGGGUGAGUUGACGGUAGCUGGAUAAGAAGCGCCGGCUAACUACGU